rnacentral:rRNA from 1 species
CAGUAGCCGCGGUAAUACAGAGGAUGCAAGCGUUAUUCGGAUUGAUUGGGUGUAAAGGGUGUGCAGACGGCUUAUUAAGUCGCUUGUUAAAUUCUUCGGCCUAACUGAAGGUCUGCAAGUGAUACUGAUGAGCUAGAGGGUGGAAGAGAGAAGUGGAAUUCUCGGAGUAGCAGUAAAAUGCGUAGAUCUCGAGAGGAACACCAAUGGCGAAGGCAGCUUCUUGGUCCAUUCCUGACGUUCAUACACGAAAGCGUGGGGAGCAAACAGGAUUAGAUACCCCGGUAGUCCCUGUCUCUUAUAC